rnacentral:sRNA from 1 species
AGCAAAGCGGCGGCGCAAGAGUCCCGCCAUGGCCGCUCUCACCCGGGACCCCCAGUUCCAGAAGCUGCAGCAAUGGUACCGCGAGCACGGCUCCGAGCUGAACCUGCGCCGCCUCUUCGAUGCCAACAAGGACCGCUUCAACCACUUCAGCUUGACCCUCAACACCAACCAUGGGCAUAUCCUGGUGGAUUACUCCAAGAACCUGGUGACGGAGGACGUGAUGCGGAUGCUGGUGGACUUGGCCAAGUCCAGGGGCGUGGAGGCCGCCCGGGAGCGGAUGUUCAAUGGUGAGAAGAUCAAUUACACCGAGGGUCGAGCCGUGCUGCACGUGGCUCUGCGGAACCGGUCAAACACACCCAUCCUGGUAGACGGCAAGGAUGUGAUGCCAGAGGUCAACAAGGUUCUGGACAAGAUGAAGUCUUUCUGCCAGGUAAGUUGCUACUGGGCUGGACUCACCCUUGGCCGUGUGUGUAUUUGGGAAUCUGGGAGCCCUGAGGGGCAGCUCUUCCCCUCUUCUUGGAGGCAGGAGUCA